AUUGCUGUGAUGAGCCGUAACAAUAAGAAGACCAACAGAUCAAUUGGUUCUUCGGUGAAAUAUUCUUUUACGCUUGGCUUCUGAGCUAA
rfam:Brachypodium distachyon strain Bd21 chromosome 2, whole genome shotgun sequence.